AGAGUGAGAAGAAAAGGUAUUUUGGAAAACAGAGAUUAAGUUUCAGCCCAGAACAUGUGGAGAAAGGCAGGAGCUAGGGUCUGAAGGGCAGGCACGGGGCACCAGAGCCCACAGUAAGGCUCGGAAAACCUCAGCUAGAGCGGUGGCUAGAAGGUGGGUAAAGUGAAGAGAAGAGGGGCAACUACAAGUGGCUUCCCUGGAUGGGGGGGCACUUCUCUAACCCUCCAGACUUGAGAGGCAUUCUCACUUCCUUUGCUGCUCAGCUUCCAGUGACAAUGUUUCCAUGCUGAAACACCCUAAUGCAUGUGAUUGUUUCAGAGACAAGUUCUGGAAAGGACAUGGUCCCAUCUCCUAUUGAACCCAGUCCAACAAACAAACCGAAAGUAAUCAGAACUAAUUCAUAUCUUUGCUCAGUCUCUCAGGAAACAGGCAAAGGUGGAGCUGGGAUAGACAAAGUAUGUUUUCAUGCCCAAGAAAAGUAGCAAAUUGUUGCACAAAUCCAUUCAUCCCUCAUUCACCACUUUUCAUACUCCUCACUUCCUAAUAUCUUCUGAAAAUCCCCACACUCUCAACUCCCAACUUCAGUACCCACUCACUUUCUAAUAUAAACCUUCCAGCUUCUCCAGAUUUCCCCCAGCUAUUUACUUACACCAAAAUUCAUAAUGAGGUCCAGGUGAAUGAGUCUGCGUCAGUGGGAGGGAUCCUCCCUGAGUCAGGGAAAUGGGCUGAUUCACUCACAUUGUUUCUGCCUGCAGUGUUCUUCCUUCAGCUAUCUGUAUGGCUUUUUUAUAAGAAGAAGAAGGAGAAGAAGAAGGAGGAGGUGGAGGAGAAGGCAAACUUAAAAAGCCACCAUAAUGGAAGCUCUGUGACCUUAGACACUUUGUACCCCACUGCCUGAAGUGAUAGCUGGCAUGUAAUGAACACUCAAUGAACAUGGAAUGAAUGAAUGAAUGAACAUUCUAGUAUCAUGCAUCCCUGCUCCUCAGAGGCUAAUUACAUUGUAUACAACCACACUUGUCAACCCUACACUUGGAAUGAUGGUGCAUAUUAAAAGGUAUGGUCCUGAAGUUGUAUUUUUUUCUGUCACCAUUGAGUGACUUCUUCUGGGCCCUUUAGAGAGACAGAUACCUUUGCAAGUUAGGUUUUCCAUCUGUUAAUGGGACCAUAACACACCUGAGAAACCAUCUAUACCCUUGCAUGUGGCACUUGAACUUUUCAAUGUGGAGACCCAUAUAAAGGCCAAUGUAAGUGACAUUAUCAUUGCUGUCUCAUUGCUUCGACUAUUAAUAGUGAUUGUCAACGAUGACAACUUUCAGGCAGUAUGAAGCCUUCCAGAGUGUUUUUUUUUUUCUUCCAGAGUCUUCAAGACUAAUACUCAACCUGAAAACAUCUUCCUCUUACCAAGACAGCACUUCCUAGGAAAACGUAUUUUUCAGGUAAUUUUACUUCAGUACAAGUGGGCUUCUCUCCUUGUACAGCACGUGAGUAAGAGAAGAAACUCACUUAUGAAGUACUUUACUACCUUGUCUAAAUAAGGGAAAAGAAAAUGUACCAGGAAGCCUCAGAGCCAAAUUGAGCUCAAAUGCAGGCAUCCUCCUCAGCUACACCUCUCAGGAAAGCACCUCCUUUAAAUACAUAUUUGUACCACUUCAACAUCAGAAAAACUUGGUAUUUUCCAAAACAGUUUUUUUUCCCCUGCCCAAUAGCUAGAAAUUUCUUAGGAGUGAGUGUCUUCCCUAAAACAACAAACCAUCUUCUUUUAGCUCCGUGCCCUCAGAGAAAAUAAGACAGCCUCAGAGAUUUGAGUUUCCGUAACCUCAGCACUUGUAGACAGUAAGCAGACUAGCAGGGGACUUCACCAACAGUUAUGAUCUGGUGGUACAGCGGGAAAUCUGUUUUUGGAAGCUAAAAUCAGUGGGCACUCCUUGAGCUGGGAAGAUUCUGAGGUUUAGCAGCUUAGAUAGCAGAGAUGGUAACAUGCUGACAAAGAUGGCUGAAGCCAUACGUCAGGGAGCAGUCCUAUUGUAACUACAUUAGGAACACUCCAAUGAUUGUAAGCAUAGAAUAUCUCUGUCCAAAUUCAACAGAAAUUGUAAGAAACCUCAGAUUACUUCUCAGAGGAGCAGGGAGCAUCGUCUGUGCUAAAAUCAGAAAGUGGAGUGGCCUGGAGGCCUUCCUAGAGAAAGGUUGGAAGUUACCAGGGCAUUCGAUUCAGUCCACCUUGGCAGGAAGACCCUAAGAAUGCUUUUCGGCUCUUCCUCUGGAUACUCCCUCUUUAAAUUCCUUAGUGACUGUCUCCACUUUCCCAGAUCAGGUCAAAUAUCUUAGCAAGUGGAAAAUACCCUCUUAUUAUAAAACAAAAAUAUGGAGGACUUCUGCCCCAUGCCUCCAAAAGAUUGGUUAAUGGGUGGCUACAUGUUUACUGUCUUAGUGUAAGGCUAAGUGUGCACUUUGCAGGCUGAUGAAUUGGAAACUUCUCUUUAGUAGGUGACAGCAGGCCUGCUUGAAAAUUAUUUCUCCUGUCAAAAUAGUAGUGAUAGUAAUAGCUACUAUGCAUGGAGAGAGCAUAGUGGUAAAGAGCAUGGGCCAUGGAGUCAGAUGGAUUCCUGACCCUGCUGCUUACUAUUUGUCCAUUUCCUAAGCAAGUUGCUUAACCUCUGUAUGUUUUAGUUCGCUCGACUAUAAAAUGGAGAUACACAAGGAAACUAACAACGGCAAACGAUUUCAAAUAUUUGCUAGGUACUAAACAUUAUUCUGGUGUUUUGCCUUCAUUAACUAAUUUAAUGUGUUCCAUGACCCCAUGAGGUGCGUGCCUUUGUUAUAUGACUCCUGAGUUUCCUGCACUCUCCUGCCUUGAGUUCCAGAGACCCUGGACACCUGUGAAGGAGGAUGACGUGCUUCACGGGCAUUAUCUCAUGUAAUCCUCACAGCACUUUUAUGAGGAGGGCACUCUUAUUUGACCCACUUCUGCUUGGGAAAACUGAGGUGCAGAGGUUAAGUAACUUACCCAAAGACAGUAAGUAGCAGUGCUUCGAAAAAUAGGCAGACCAUGCUGUUAAUUAUUAGGCAUCAUAAUAUCUGUUCCCCCAGAGCUCCCCCUGUUUGUUAAAGGGGAGUGAAACCAACUCAAAUCACAUGUUUGUGAAUGGGAAACAUUUAAAAAGGAUGGCUGAAGAGCUGCCUCCAGUGCUUGCAUCAAAAUAAACAGAACUGAUAGACACAA